GAUGAAGAACGUAGCGAAAUGCGAUAAGUAAUGUGAAUUGCAGAAUUCAGUGAAUCAUCGAAUCUUUGAACGCACAUUGCGCCCCUUGGUAUUCCGAGGGGCAUGCCUGUUCGAGCGUCGUAUUAACCACUCCCGCUUGCGGGGUCUUGGGCUUCGCCUCCGGGCGGGCCUUAAAAUCAGUGGCGGUGCCGUCGGGCUCUACGCGUAGUAAAUUUUCUCGCGAUAGGGUCCCGGUGGAUGCUUGCCAACAACCCCCAACUUCUUAAGGUUGACCUCGGAUCAGGUAGGGAUACCCGCUGAACUUAAGCAUAUCAAUAAGCGGAGGA
rnacentral:misc_RNA from 1 species